GAUGCCAGAUAUAUACGAUUGUCACCUUUAGUCUAAUUUUUUUAAUGCAAAUACAUAAGGUAAUUAAUGCAAAGCUUAGGCUGUACUCGUUAGUCUGUCCUCAGUAAGAUUUCAGCAUCAACUGGAGUGUUAUGCUGAUUUUAAGUUCACAAAUAGAGUUCAUUUUGAAUGUUUUUAAUUAAAUGGUAUUGCCUUCAGAACAACAGCACACUACAGAGAUAUAUUAUUUAUAAUGAAAUGCUCUUUUGAGAAGCAGAAAGGACAGUAAGGACCAUGACUCCACAAAUGGACUUAGGACUAUGACUGGGCUUGCCUGACACCAGAUCUGUGCCCUGCUCAAGUCAGAGAUCUCUGAAGGGAGGAGGCUUGCUGUGAACCAGAUGCAGACAUGGCAGGCACUGUAAGUCCAAUUCAUUUCACCUUUUUCUCUGGAUAGCUAAGGUAAGGUGUACUAUUACUUAUUGAUCCAAUGUACUGAGGUUAUUCAUACACUAGCUCUUCCAAUAAUGCAAAUAUGUAGCUGGUGUUGAUGCUGUUAAUUAAUCAUAUUUAUUAUUUUAAUCUCAUUCAGGAACAUAGAAUCCAGCUGCGUAUGCAGAUGCCAGUCAGGCAAUGAAAUCCCCAGCCCUAAAAGGCAGAUCAAAGAUGGAUGGCUCUGUCUUGCAGAAAUCAUUGUGUAUACAUUUGCUGAUAAAUCCAGUGCUUUUUCUGCAUUGACCAGCAGCUUGAGACUCCUGUUCUUUCUCAUCUGUAGGUUGUAAAAGGCCAUUUUGACACUGCUUCCAAACAGCCUGUGAGCUGGUGAAACCUUGGCGGUCCAGGCCAGUGAAAGGACUACCCUGAAAUUAGGGAGAAGAAUGGAAAUGAGCCAAAAAGUUAAUAACAUCUUGGGCUUGUCUGUGUGGCCAUGGAGUGUCUUCUAGGGCUGCAUCAGAGGAAUCAUAGAGUCAUCAAGGCUGGAAAAGACCACUAAAAUAAUCUUGUCCAACCAUCAACCCAUCGUCACUGUGCCCAGUAAAGAAGAAGAGCUGAUAGAUGUGUGUUGCUGUGCCACCUUCCCUUGGGACCAAUACUGAGGGUAGCAGAGAGCUCAUUGGAUACCACCUGCAUUGGUCCAAAUUGGUCAACGAAGGCAGCUCUGCAGCUGAACUAAGAGGCCUGUCAAGAACCAGGGCAGAACCAGCAGCAGAACUUAGCCAGCUCUUCAUAACGUGCUCACAGAAAGCUUUCGCAGCUCCUCUAGAAGUAGUUUUUUUCAUGUUUUGCAAAUGGGACAUUCAUUGAGAAUGAUAUUAAUAUGCAGAUACUGUAUGUGAUGCUCUUGAAGGAUCUGUGUUAUGACACAGGAAAACACACGUUUGCAUGGCAUGGCUUACUAGGACACUAACAGUUUAAGGGUUUGGUCGUCUUAGGGCCUCUAUUUCAGUACUGGGGACAAACUCUGUUUCAAGGCUUUCAAUGAACUGGAAGUGAUGUGUGUACUGUCCACCCUGAGGCACCUUUAGUAAAAUCAGUCUCCAUUUUGGGUCCCUCAGUUCACUGUCUGAAUUUCAGUUGGGA
ensembl:lncRNA